rnacentral:rRNA from 1 species
CCCUUAGAUGUCCUGGGCUGCACGCGCGCUACACUGAUGUGUCCAGUAAGCACCUAACCUCUUCCGAAAGGAACGGGUAACCUUUGCAAAGCACAUCGUGAUGGGGAUAGAUUAUUGCAAUUAUUAGUCUUGAACGAGGAAUUCCUAGUAAGCACAAGUCAUCAGCUUGUGUUGAUUACGUCCCUGCCCUUUGUACACACCGCCCGUCGCUACUACCGAUUGAAUGGUUUAGUGAGAUCUCCGGAUUGGCUCUGUAGGUCCCGCAAGGGAUUUAUUAGUAGCCAAGAAGCUGCUCAAACUUGAUCAUUUAGAGGAAGUAAAAGUCGUAACA